UACGGAAUGUGCAAACGUUAUUCGGAAUCACUGGGCUUAAAGAGUCCGUAGGCGGCAUGUUAGGUGAGGUGUGAAAUCCCCCGGCUCAACCGAGGAAUUGCGCUUCAAACCGGCGUGCUUGAGGAAGAUAGAGGUGGGCGGAACUGAUGGUGGAGCGGUGAAAUGCGUUGAUAUCAUCAGGAACACCGGAGGCGAAGGCGGAUCUCUGGGCCAUUACUGACGCUGAGGAGCGAAAGCGUGGGGAGCGAACAGG
rnacentral:rRNA from 1 species